UACGGGGGGAGCAAGCGUUGUUCGGAUUUACUGGGCGUAAAGGGCGCGUAGGCGGUCAGCACAAGUCAGUUGUGAAAUCUCCGGGCUUAACUCGGAAAGGUCAACUGAUACUGUGCGACUAGAGUGCAGAAGGGGCAACUGGAAUUCUCGGUGUAGCGGUGAAAUGCGUAGAUAUCGAGAGGAACACCUGAGGUGAAGACGGGUUGCUGGGCCAACACUGACGCUGAGGCGCGAAAGCCAGGGGAGCAAACGGG
rnacentral:rRNA from 1 species